rnacentral:rRNA from 1 species
GACGAACGCUGGCGGCGCUCCUAACACAUGCAAGUCGAACGAGCGAGAGAGAGCUUGCUUUCUCGAGCGAGUGGCGAACGGGUGAGUAACGCGUGAGGAACCUGCCUCAAAGAGGGGGACAACAGUUGGAAACGACUGCUAAUACCGCAUAAGCCCACAGCUCGGCAUCGAGCAGAGGGAAAAGGAGUGAUCCGCUUUGAGACGGCCUCGCGUCCGAUUAGCUGGUUGGUGAGGUAACGGCCCACCAAGGCGACGAUCGGUAGCCGGACUGAGAGGUUGAACGGCCACAUAGGGACUGAGACACGGCCCAGACUCCUACGGGAGGCAGCAGUGGGGAAUAUUGCACAAUGGGGGAAACCCUGAUGCAGCGACGCCGCGUGGAGGAAGAAGGUCUUCGGAUUGUAAACUCCUGUUGUUGAGGAAGAUAAUGACGGUACUCAACAAGGAAGUGACGGCUAACUACGUGCCAGCAGCCGCGGUAAAACGUAGGUCACAAGCGUUGUCCGGAAUUACUGGGUGUAAAGGGAGCGCAGGCGGGAAGACAAGUUGGAAGUGAAAUCUAUGGGCUCAACCCAUAAACUGCUUUCAAAACUGUUUUUCUUGAGUAGUGCAGAGGUAGGCGGAAUUCCCGGUGUAGCGGUGGAAUGCGUAGAUAUCGGGAGGAACACCAGUGGCGAAGGCGGCCUACUGGGCACCAACUGACGCUGAGGCUCGAAAGUGUGGGUAGCANACAGG